GUGAUACUUGAUUCGGCAGCACACAUACUAUAAAAUUGGAACAAUACAGAGAUUAGUGUGGCUCUUGCACAAGGAUGAGAUG
ensembl:snRNA U6 U6 spliceosomal RNA